rnacentral:lncRNA from 1 species
GCCAGGGCUGUGCCCUCCCUCCUUGCAAGGCUCAGCUCUGCCAUUAGUCCAGUCGAUUCUGCCUCCUCUAGCCUGCUUCAACACAGGUAGGGAUGGGCUGGGAACGGAACAAACUUUGAACAGAUAUCUUUACAGACUCCAGGGAAAGUCUGGGAAAGUAACAAUAGAGUCUGUUUUAAUGCUUCUUAGAGCAUUUCAUGUCAAGAAGGGUUCAGGAACCUGGUCAGCCAUGGGGGAAAUUAUGGGGCAUCCGUUCGUCAAAGAGGCAGCAUCAAACUCUAUUCUAAUGGGAGUAGAGAGGUGUAUAGACAGUCUGGAGUACAUGAUGAAGUUAGGUUUAUGGAUUUUUAAGGGGAUUAUACACGUAGUUUGACUAGUGUCGGGCUAUAGUCCUGUUAUUAAGUACUCAUAAGACAGAUUUCCCUUAGAUAGGUAAGACUUAUAUCUGUUAUGAUUUCUUUUCUUGUACUUUUUUUUUCUUUUUCAUGUUCCAUGAUUGCAAACAGCAGUGUUCGGGUCCACAUGCAGUCAGCGUAUGCUGGGCUGGUUUCUAACCUGUUUGUCAUUGUCUCCAAACACACUGUCAUUAGGUUUAGGAAUGUGGUGAAUAAACAGGCAGACACUGGUCUGAAGAACACAUGCUGUGGUUUCAGUGGAGAAUGGGUGUCCACCAGAGUGAAACCAAGCAAGAGUUUUUAGUUUGCAGGUUACAGCAGAUUAACUUUCAGCUAAUCACACACAGUAAAGCUUUCAAAGUAAUACAGUAACAGGCUGCAGAUAAAUCGAAUGACUCCCGUGGAAGAGCUUGCUUUAAAGGUAGCAACAACGCCUAUUUUUUGCACCAAAGUCACUUGUUUUCUAACGCACACCGUGAGGUUUUCUGUGUGGGUGGAAAUUUUCCAUAAUACAUAUUUAUACCAUAGCUGCUGUCCAUGUGGCACAUUUGCUGUCUCAAAACUGUUUCUAGGGACUCAAAAUGAAUGUCAUGUGGGCAAAACCCAACAUGGUAUUCUGUUAAAGCGAUAGACCACAAAAAAAUUGAUGCUCGCUCUGCUUCAAAGAAAAACCCAGCUAUGCGUGGCUAUAACUGAAUGCUGGGAAGUUAACUAGAAGCAGUGAAUGCUGGGAAGUUAACUAGAAGCAGGGGUCUUUAGAUUUUCAAACAAAAAUUAUAGACAGAAACUUCCUUCUAUCUCGGAUGCUUUCAUUAUAUAUCC